ensembl:lncRNA
AAGAAAGAAGUAUGUUAUUUGAAAAAAAAAUGAUUAAUGAUAAUUAUACAUUUAAUUUACAUAGUGCCUUGCCAUAGCUCAAGGACACUUUACAAUUGAGAUACAACAAUCAAAUGGUAGAAAAACAGAAUAAUUCAAGAAUAAUACUUAGAAAAAAAAUGCAUUAUUGAAACAAAUUAGUGAUCGGCAACAGAUAUAACACAAAAACAAACAAAGAUUGUAGUUAAUUUAUAAACUUUAAUAUCAGGAAAAUUCUACUUUUGGUUUUAGGGCGUUUGUAUUACAAGAAUCAGAAAGCAGAAGCUGUACGCAAUAGUGUACAUAGUGUAAUUCUCAUCUGUGUUUGACUCAUGUGACUCUCUGUGUCUCUCUGUGCUCCUCGCAGGAGUCUGACCUCUGGUAACUGCAGCCUGUUCAAACAUAUCCUCAUUUCAUGCACAAACAAUACAGUAGAGAAGAACAGCAUAAGAGAAGACCCUCUUCACAUUGCUUUCUGGUGGCCGAUGCACCCACAAAUCAGACACAAAGACGUCUUUAUGAGAACACAGGGAACCCAGUGAGAUAAAAGUGGAGCGUACAGCUGAGACAGAUUAUAAAGCCGCAGGACUUUGAGCAGGUGUUUUCAGCGCUGGGUUUAGGUUAGCGGCUAACUGCCUCGAUCUGUGACAGGACUCCCAGCACAGCGGGUCACAGGGGACCAUUGUUUUUAGCCACUAAUAUUAACAUUUUUCUUUUUCUCAGCUUUUCUCCGUGAGACUCUUCUCAGAGAGAGGGAUUGUGAGCAUGUUCGGGCCGCAUGCGGUUAUAUCCAGCGCUCUGGAGGCUUUUAGUCGAGCCAUGUGUUGACAUAAAGCAGGGACGAUGGAUUUAGCCACACGAAAAUUACGUGAAGUCAACCAGGCCGGAGUGGCGGGCAUUUUUUCGAUGGUCUGCUAGAUGCUAGUCAUCAAAACGUAUGCAUGUUGAUGUUGUUGUUGUUUUGUUAACCUAGUGUAUAUGAAAAUGAUUUUCAUGUUUGUGUGACAUGCUUUACAUUUGUAUGUUUAUCAUCCACAUUUUAUAGACUACAGGUCACUUUGGAAUAAUUAAGGAAGAAGUCUCUUCUGC